GAGUUUGAUCAUGGCUCAGGACGAACGCUGGCGGCGUGCUUAACACAUGCAAGUCUAGGGGAAAGUUUUCUUCGGAGAAUGAGUACACUGGCGCACGGGUGAGUAAUAUAUAAGUAACCUACCUUGUGGAUUGGAAUAACGUAGAGAAAUUUGCGCUAAUACCGAAUGAUGCAGCGGCACCGCAUGGUGAUGUUGUUAAAGUCAUUUAUGGCGCCACAAGAUGGGCUUGUAUUCGAUUAGCUAGUUGGUGGGGUAAUAGCCCACCAAGGCAACGAUCGAUAGCUGGUCUGAGAGGAUGAUCAGCCACACUGGAACUGAGACACGGUCCAGACUCCUACGGGAGGCAGCAGUGAGGAAUAUUGGGCAAUGCCCGCAAGGGUGACCCAGCAACGCCGCGUGGAGGAUGAAUGCCGUAAGGUUGUAAACUCCUUUUGGAGGGGACGAAAAAAUAAGUUGGUAGCUUAUAUUGACUGUACCCUCAGAAAAAGCCCCGGCUAACUACGUGCCAGCAGCCGCGGUAA
rnacentral:rRNA from 1 species